rnacentral:rRNA from 1 species
AGCGAACGCUGGCGGCAUGCUUAACACAUGCAAGUCGCACGGUCGGGGGCAACCUCGGCAGUGGCGGACGGGUGAGUAACGCGUAGGGAUCUAUCCUUGGGUGGGGGACAACCGUGGGAAACUACGGCUAAUACCGCAUGAUGACCGAGGUCUAAAGGCGCCUGGGGUUACCUGGGGUUGCCUGAGGCGGAGCCUGCGUACGAUUAGCUAGUUGGUGGGGUAAAGGCCUACCAAGGCGACGAUCGUUAGCUGGUCUGAGAGGAUGAUCAGCCACACU